UACUUGAAGAAGAGUGAUGACUU
rnacentral:snRNA from 1 species